rnacentral:rRNA from 1 species
AGUGAACGCUGGCGGUAGGCCUAACACAUGCAAGUCGAACGGCAGCACAGUAAGAGCUUGCUCUUACGGGUGGCGAGUGGCGGACGGGUGAGGAAUACAUCGGAAUCUACUUUUUCGUGGGGGAUAACGUAGGGAAACUUACGCUAAUACCGCAUACGACCUACGGGUGAAAGCAGGGGAUCUUCGGACCUUGCGCGAUUGAAUGAGCCGAUGUCGGAUUAGCUAGUUGGCGGGGUAAAGGCCCACCGAGGCGACGAUCCGUAGCUGGUCUGAGAGGAUGAUCAGCCACACUGGAACUGAGACACGGUCCAGACUCCUACAGGAGGCAGCAGUGGGGAAUAUUGGACAAUGGGCGCAAGCCUGAUCCAGCCAUACCGCGUGGGUGAAGAAGGCCUUCGGGUUGUAAAGCCCUUUUGUUGGGAAAGAAAAGCAGCAGGUUAAUACCCCGCUGUUCUGACGGUACCCAAAGAAUAAGCACCGGCUAACUUCGUG